rnacentral:rRNA from 1 species
AACGUAGGUGGCAAGCGUUAUCCGGAAUUAUUGGGUUUAAAGGGUGCGUAGGCGGCCCUGUAAGUCAGUGCUGAAAUAUCCCAGCUUAACUGGGAGGGUGGCAUUGAUACUGCGGGGCUAGAGUACAGAUGAGGUAGGCGGAAUUGACGGUGUAGCGGUGAAAUGCUUAGAUAUCGUCAAGAACACCUAUAGCGAAGGCAGCUUACUAGGCUGUAACUGACGCUGAGGCACGAAAGUGUGGGGAUCAAACAGG